AUGCACCACACACACACACACACACACACACACGCCCUGGGGAUCCGUGCACCACACACACACACACACACACACGCCCUGGGGAUCCGUGCACCACACACACACACACGCCCUGGGGAUCCGUGCACGAGUCUCUCUCACACACACAUACUCACACACACGCCCUGGGGAUCCGUGCACGAGACACACACACACACACACACGCCCUGGGGAUCCAUGCACGACACACACACACACACACACGCCCUGGGGAUCCGUGCACCACACACACACACACACACACACACACGCCCUGGGGAUCCGUGCACGAGUCUCACACACACACACACACACACACACGCCCUGGGGAUCCGUGCACGAGUCUCUCUCACACACACACACACACACGCCCUGGGGAUCCGUGCACAAGACACACACACACACACACGCCCUGGGGAUCCAUGCAUGAGACACACACACACACACACACACACGCCCUGGGGAUCCGUGCACCACACACACACACACACACCCUGGGGAUCCGUGCAUGAGUCACACACACACACACACACACACACACGCCCUGGGGAUCCGUGCACGAGUCACACACACACACACACACGCCCUGGGGAUCCAUGCACGACACACACACACACACACACACACGCCCUGGGGAACCGUGCACCACACACACACACACGCCCUGGGGAUCCAUGCACGAGACACACACACACACACACACACGCCCUGGGGAUCCGUGCACGAGUCACACACACACACACACACACACCCCCUGGGGAUCCGUGCACGAGGCACACACACACACACGCCCUGGGGAUCCAUGCACCACACACACACACACACACACACACGCCCUGGGGAUCCAUGCAUGACACACACACACACACACACACACGCCCUGGGGAUCCAUGCACGACACACACACACACACACACACACACACACACACACCCUGGGGAUCCAUGCAUGACACACACACACACACACACACACGCCCUGGGGAUCCGUGCACGACACACACACACACACACACACACACACGCCCUGGGGAUCCGUGCACGAGUCUCUCUCACACACACACACACACGCCCUGGGGAUCCGUGCACGAGACACACACACACACACACACACGCCCUGGGGAUCCAUGCACGACACACACACACACACACACACACACACGCCCUGGGGAUCCGUGCACCACACACACACACGCCCUGGGGAUCCGUGCACGAGUCUCUCUCUCACACACACACACACACACGCCCUGGGGAUCCAUGCAUGACACACACACACACACACACACACACACACGCCCUGGGGAUCCGUGCACGAGUCUCUCUCACACACACACACACACACGCCCUGGGGAUCCGUGCACGAGACACACACACACACACACACGCCCUGGGGAUCCAUGCACGACACACACACACACACACACACACACACGCCCUGGGGAUCCGUGCACCACACACACACACGCCCUGGGGAUCCGUGCACGAGUCUCUCUCUCACACACACACACACACACGCCCUGGGGAUCCAUGCACGACACACACACACACACACACACGCCCUGGGGAUCCGUGCACGAGACACACACACACACACACACGCCCUGGGGAUCCGUGCACGAGUCACACACACACACACACACGCCCUGGGGAUCCGUGCACCACACACACACACGCCCUGGGGAUCCGUGCACGAGUCUCUCUCACACACACAUACACACACACACGCCCUGGGGAUCCAUGCACGACACACACACACACACACACACGCCCUGGGGAUCCAUGCAUGAGACACACACACACACACACACGCCCUGGGGAUCCGUGCACCACACACACACACACACACACACACGCCCUGGGGAUCCGUGCACGAGUCUCACACACACACACACACACACACACGCCCUGGGGAUCCGUGCACGAGUCUCUCUCACACACACACACACACACGCCCUGGGGAUCCGUGCACAAGACACACACACACACACACGCCCUGGGGAUCCAUGCAUGA
ensembl:lncRNA